AGCUUUGCAGAGUGGCAACAUUGUACUCAGUGAGGUUUAUCUGAGGCACAAACAAUUAUAGCUAAUUAAAAACUUUUCUCAAUACCCUGCCAUGAGGCCUUGAAAUACAUAUUUCUCUAUGGAGA
ensembl:snRNA U4 U4 spliceosomal RNA